AGAAUCAACGCUGGCGGCGUGCCUAACACAUGCAAGUCGAACGAGAAAGUGGGAGCAAUCCCACGAGUAAAGUGGCGCACGGGUGAGUAACACGUGACUAACCUACCCUUGAGUGGGGGAUAACCUAGGGAAACCUGGGCUAAUACCGCAUAAUGCCUACGGGUCAAAGGAGCAAUUCGCUUUAGGAGGGGGUCGCGGCAGAUUAGUUAGUUGGCGGGGUAAUGGCCCACCAAGACAGUGAUCUGUA
rnacentral:rRNA from 1 species